rnacentral:tRNA from 1 species
GGGGAUGUAGCUCAAACGGUAGAGCGCUCGCUUUGCAUGCGAGAGGUACGGGGUUCGAUUAUAGAAUUUCUUUACUGAAUUUGAUGUCGAACAUCCGC